rnacentral:rRNA from 1 species
CACGUAGGGUGCGAGCGUUGUCCGGAAUUAUUGGGCGUAAAGAGCUCGUAGGCGGUGUGUCGCGUCGGCCGUGAAAACCUGCAGCUUAACUGUGGGCUUGCGGUCGAUACGGGCAUCACUGGAGUUCGGCAGGGGAGACUGGAAUUCCUGGUGUAGCGGUGAAAUGCGCAGAUAUCAGGAGGAACACCGGUGGCGAAGGCGGGUCUCUGGGCCGAUGACU